rnacentral:rRNA from 1 species
UACGUAGGGUGCGAGCGUUUGUCCGGAAUUAUUGGGCGUAAAGAGCUUGUAGGCGGUUUGUCGCGUCUGCUGUGAAAAUCCGGGGGCUCAACCCCCGGACUUGCAGUGGGUACGGGGCAGACUGGAGUUCGGUAGGGGAGACUGGAAUUCCUGGUGUAGCGGUGAAAUGCGCAGAUAUCAGGAGGAACACCGGUGGCGAAGGCGGGUCUCUGGGCAUUACCUGACGCUGAGGAGC